AGCAGCCGCGGUAAUUCCAGCUCCAAUAGCGUAUAUUAAAGUUGUUGCAGUUAAAAAGCUCGUAGUUGAAUUUCGGGGUCAAUAAGUUGGUCGUGCCUAUGGUAUGCACUGGCUUUAUUGAUUCCUACCUCUUGACGAACUGUGAUGCCAUUAAUUUGGUGUCGCAAGGAAUCAGGACUGUUACCUUGAAAAAAUUAGAGUGUUUAAAGCAGGCUUGCGCUUGAAUACAUUAGCAUGGAAUAAUGAAAUAGGACGUUUGAACCUAUUUUGUUGGUUUCUAGGAUCGACGUAAUGAUUAAUAGGGAUAGUUGGGGGCAUUAGUAUUCAAUUGUCAGAGGUGAAAUUCUUGGAUUUAUUGAAGACUAACUACUGCGAAAGCAUUUGCCAAGGAUGUUUUCAUUAAUCAAGAACGAAAGUUAGGGGAUCGAAGGCGAUUAGAUACCGCCGUAGUCCUGACCGUAAACGAUGCUGACUCGCGAUUCGUCGGCGCCCNUUAAUGCGGGCCCGAUGA
rnacentral:rRNA from 1 species